rnacentral:rRNA from 1 species
AUUGAACGCUGGCGGAAUGCUUUACACAUGCAAGUCGAACGGCAGCACGGACUUCGGUCUGGUGGCGAGUGGCGAACGGGUGAGUAAUAUAUCGGAACGUAUCCAAUAAUGGGGGAUAACUAAUCGAAAGGUUGGCUAAUACCGCAUACGCCCUACGGGGGAAAGCUAGGGAUCUUCGGACCUGGCGUUAAUGGAGCGGCCGAUAUCUGAUUAGCUAGUUGGUGGGGUAAAGGCCCACCAAGGCGACGAUCAGUAGCUGGUCUGAGAGGACGACCAGCCACACUGGAACUGAGACACGGUCCAGACUCCUACGGGAGGCAGCAGUGGGGAAUUUUGGACAAUGGGCGCAAGCCUGAUCCAGCCAUUCCGCGUGAGUGAAGAAGGCCCUU